GAUGAACGCUGGCGGCGUGCCUAAUACAUGCAAGUCGAACGCUUUGUGGUUCAACUGAUUUGAAGAGCUUGCUCAGAUAUGACGAUGGACAUUGCAAAGAGUGGCGAACGGGUGAGUAACACGUGGGAAACCUACCUCUUAGCAGGGGAUAACAUUUGGAAACAGAUGCUAAUACCGUAUAACAAUGACAACCGCAUGGUUGUUAUUUAAAAGAUGGUUCUGCUAUCACUAAGAGAUGGUCCCGCGGUGCAUUAGCUAGUUGGUAAGGUAAUGGCUUACCAAGGCGAUGAUGCAUAGCCGAGUUGAGAGACUGAUCGGCCACAAUGGGACUGAGACACGGCCCAUACUCCUACGGGAGGCAGCAGUAGGGAAUCUUCCACAAUGGGCGAAAGCCUGAUGGAGCAACGCCGCGUGUGUGAUGAAGGGUUUCGGCUCGUAAAACACUGUUGUAAGAGAAGAAUGACAUUGAGAGUAACUGUUCAAUGUGUGACGGUAUCUUACCAGAAAGGAACGGCUAAAUACGUGCCAGCAGCCGCGGUAAUACGUAUGUUCCAAGCGUUAUCCGGAUUUAUUGGGCGUAAAGCGAGCGCAGACGGUUAUUUAAGUCUGAAGUGAAAGCCCUCAGCUCAACUGAGGAAUUGCUUUGGAAACUGGAUGACUUGAGUGCAGUAGAGGAAAGUGGAACUCCAUGUGUAGCGGUGAAAUGCGUAGAUAUAUGGAAGAACACCAGUGGCGAAGGCGGCUUUCUGGACUGUAACUGACGUUGAGGCUCGAAAGUGUGGGUAGCAAACAGGAUUAGAUACCCUGGUAGUCCACACCGUAAACGAUGAGUGCUAGGUGUUUGAGGGUUUCCGCCCUUAAGUGCCGCAGCUAACGCAUUAAGCACUCCGCCUGGGGAGUACGACCGCAAGGUUGAAACUCAAAGGAAUUGACGGGGACCCGCACAAGCGGUGGAGCAUGUGGUUUAAUUCGAAGCAACGCGAAGAACCUUACCAGGUCUUGACAUCCCUUGACAACUCCAGAGAUGGAGUGUUCCCUUCGGGGACAAGGUGACAGGUGGUGCAUGGUUGUCGUCAGCUCGUGUCGUGAGAUGUUGGGUUAAGUCCCGCAACGAGCGCAACCCUUAUUACUAGUUGCCAGCAUUCAGUUGGGCACUCUAGUGAGACUGCCGGUGACAAACCGGAGGAAGGUGGGGAUGACGUCAAAUCAUCAUGCCCCUUAUGACCUGGGCUACACACGUGCUACAAUGGCGUAUACAACGAGUUGCCAACCCGCGAGGGUGAGCUAAUCUCUUAAAGUACGUCUCAGUUCGGAUUGUAGGCUGCAACUCGCCUACAUGAAGUCGGAAUCGCUAGUAAUCGCGGAUCAGCACGCCGCGGUGAAUACGUUCCCGGGUCUUGUACACACCGCCCGUCACACCAUGAGAGUUUGUAACACCCAAAGCCGGUGGGGUAACCUUCGGGAGCCAGCCGUCUAAGGUGGGAUAGAUGAUUAGGGUG
rnacentral:rRNA from 1 species